CACUCUUAUCCUAAAGGGAGAAUGUUUGCGGUCACGUGUUUCCCUUGAGGACUAGGUCUUUGUUGUGUAAAAUGCUCCAGGAUGAUUUCAGAACGGUUCAUCUUCCCCUUCCCAUUCCACAGCCAUGAAGGGAUCGUUCUCAGAUUCACCAUGAGAUCCUGGUGGGGUUCCUUGAAGGAAAGUCCGUGAAGGUGUGCCCCCCUUCCAGGACUGAGGCCCCAGGACUUUCUCCUUGUCACGCGUCUAAGGCACAGAAGGUGAGGCAGCUGAGAUCAGACCAAGUGUUUUGUCAAUGUUACACCUCAGAAACAGCAGAGGCAGGAUUCCAACCCAUGCUUCAGAAGAUGUUCAACUUCCUCUUUAUCAGGUUAAGGUGACCUAAGUAGUACGACUGCCCCUUCGACCCCUUGGUCUUCAUCUCUGCAAACAACUUCGCUAUUGGAAGUUCCUACGGGCGGCUGCAAGUGGGGAUGCAGAAAAACAGGCUCCAGAGGGUCUUAGUGGGCAAACUCUGAUUCCUUUGUAAAAGUCAGGCUCAGUAGCAGGAAACAAGAAUCUAGCUUCAUGGCAAGAUCGCUCUGAUGGUGCUGAAGACUUCAAGCCUUGUGGCACAGUUUAAUUUAAUAUGGUAAUGAGAAAUAUGAGAAUUAAAAAGAAAAAAGAGCCAACUGUACAUUGGAGGGAAGAAAACCCUUUACGUAUAGAAAGAUGCUUAUUAAAUGUUCCUUUUGGUUAAACUCAAAGUACAGAUUUGCCUAAAGAACAUAGAGUUAUGGUUUUGGGGCCAUUAUAUUU